rnacentral:ncRNA from 2 species
ACGCCUGGGGGGCGCGAGCCCACGAAGUGCCCAGAAAAUAUACCGCCCCGGUGCGUCCGGGGUAAGGGUGAAAAGGUGCGGUAAGAGCGCACCGCGCUGGCGGUAACGCCAAGCGGCAGGGUAAACCCCAUCCGGAGCAAGACCAAAUAGGGGAGCAUUGGGUUCGCCCAGACGUGCGGCCCGCACGGCUCCCGGGUAGGUCGCUCGAGACGUACGGUGACGUAUGUCCCAGAUGAAUGGCUGUCCACGACAGAACCCGGCUUACCGGCCGACUCUUCUU